rnacentral:misc_RNA from 1 species
CAUGUGCAUGAUCAAUUGCA